AUUGAACGCUGGCGGCAGGCCUAACACAUGCAAGUCGAACGGUAACAGGAAGAAGCUUGCUUCUUUGCUGACGAGUGGCGGACGGGUGAGUAAUGUCUGGGAAACUGCCUGAUGGAGGGGGAUAACUACUGGAAACGGUAGCUAAUACCGCAUAACGUCGCAAGACCAAAAAGGGGGACCUUCGGGCCUCUUGCCAUCGGAUGUGCCCAGAUGGGAUUAGCUAGUAGGUGGGGUAACGGCUCACCUAGGCGACGAUCCCUAGCUGGUCUGAGAGGAUGACCAGCCACACGGGAACUGAGACACGGCCCAGACUCCUACGGGAGGCAGCAGUGGGAAAUAUUGCACAAUGGGAGCAAGCCUGAUGCAGCCAUGCCGCGGGUAUGAAGAAGGCCUUCGGGUUGUAAAGUACUUUCAGCGGGGAGGAAGGGAGUAAAGUUAAUACCUUUGCUCAUUGACGUUACCCGCAGAAGAAGCACCGGCAAACUCCGU
rnacentral:rRNA from 1 species